rnacentral:lncRNA from 1 species
AUGGGAAUGGGAAUGGGAAUGGGACCGGGAAUGGGAAUGGGAAUGGGAUUGGGAGUGGGAAUGGGAUUGGGAGUGGGAAUGGGAUUGGGAGUGGGAAUGGGAAUGGGAACUGGGAAUGGGAAUGGGGAUGGGAAUGGGAAUGGGAUUGGGAGUGGGAAUGGGAUUGGGAGUGGGAAUGGGAAUGGGAACUGGGAAUGGGAAUGGGGAUGGGAAUGGGAAUGGGAUUGGGAGUGGGAAUGGGAUUGGGAGUGGGAAUGGGAAUGGGAACUGGGAAUGGGAAAUGGGAAUGGGAACGGGAAUGGAAUGGGAAUGGGAAUUGGAAUGGGAAUGGGAAUGGGGAUGGGAUUGGGAAUGGGAAUGGGAACGGGAAUGGGAACGGGAAUGGGAAUGAGAACGGGAAUGGGAUGGGAAUGGGAACGAGAAUGGGGAUGGAAUGGGAAUGGGAAUGGGAUGGGAAUGGGAACAGGAAUGGGAACGGGAAUGGGAAUGAGCCGGGUGUCCUUGAGCCCCACUGUGGCCUGCAGCUCCACAGGAAUUCCCACCUGGAAUUUCGGGAAGCGCUCACCCCUCUCAUUUCCCCAUUCCCACUGGGAAUUCCCAGCCCAUCCCGGGAUCGCAGCUGUGGGAUCAGGGGCUCCCCCCGCUCCCCGUCCUCCCCUUCCCGCUUUUCCUCCCGGCAUUCCCACAAUUCCAAACCCCGCCGGGAUCGGGGAUCGGGCUCGUCCUGCGGGCAGAAUUCCCGGGAUCCCGGGGAUGGAUCCCGGGGAUGGAUCCCGGGGAUGGAUCCCGGGGAUGGAUCCCGGGAUCGGGAAGGCGGCGGCGCUUCCCGGGGGAGUGGCGGCGCCCCGGGACCGCCUCCCGCUCCUUCCCCUUUCCCCCUUCCUGCCCCGGCUCCUUCCGCGCUCCGGGAGCGGCUCCGGCUUUUCCCGGGAAUCCGGGGCGGGGGGGAUUGGAUCCCCCUGCGCCGGGAGAGGAUUCCCUGGAAUUUCCCGGCUGAUUCCCAAAGCUCGCCGCGCAGGAUCCCGGAGUUUUCCUGCUUCCCGCUUUUCCAUCCUCGGAUUUCUGGAAGCGAUUCCAGCGCUUCCCGCGGGAUCUGAUCCCACCAGGAUUUGGGAUCCGAUCCCACCGGGAUCCGGGAUCUGA